rnacentral:lncRNA from 1 species
GAGGAGGAGGAGGAGGAGCAGGAGGCCAGAGAUGGGGAAGAAGAGGUUUAGGAAGUCUGAGGAAACUUGGAGGAGGUGCAGUUACAUUUAUUAGGUCAGAGGAGGAGGUGCUCUUAGGCCGACAGGGAGAACCAAGAGGAGGCCAAGGAGCAGAGAAGGGUCCAAGCAAGAAGUACGGAGGCUUAAGGAGGCGCAGGAGCAGUGAUGAGGAGUCAGAAAGAGGUCGAGGACACUGUGAGGAGGCAUGUGGAGGUCAGGGAGCAGAGAGAGGGGGAGCUACACAAGGAGCUGAGGGAAGAGAGGGAGUCAUGAGGAGACCGAGGGAGGAGGUGAGAGGAGGAGAGAGAGGUGAGAGGAGGAGCAGGAGGCCAGAGAUGGGGAAGAAGAGGUUUAGGAAGUCUGAGGAAACUUGGAGGAGGUGCAGUUACAUUUAUAAGGUCAGAGGAGGAGGUGCCCUUAGGCAGACAGGGAGAACCAAGAGGUGGAAGGAGGAGGAGGAAAGAGGCUGAAGGAGGUGCAGGAGAAGUGCAGGGAGCACACAAGGAGCCUCAUGGAUGAGCAGGAGGAGGUGCUGGAUAUAUUUGGAGGUUUAAGGAAACUUGUAAAGGAAGAGGAGUGAGGAGACGCAGGGGUGUGUGUGUGUGUAAGAGUUCACCCAGCAGGAGGAGUGAGGAGGUGCAGUCUGAGGUUCUGGAGCAUCGUGGCGGGAGACUUUAGGAGGAGAAGCUGCUGGAGGAGUUAGGAAAAGGCCGGAGGAACUUCAUGGAGACGCAGGAGCAGAAGAAGGAUGGAGGAGAGCCAAGAGGAGGUCAGGGAGCAGAGAAGGGUCCAAGCAAGAAGUACGGAGGCUUAAGGAGGCGCAGGAGCAGUGAUGAGGAGUCAGAAAGAGGUCGAGGACACUUUGAGGAGGCAUGUGGAGGUCAGGGAGCAGAGAGAGGGGGAGCUACACAAGGAGCUGAGGGAAGAGAGGGAGUCAUGAGGAGACCGAGGGAGGAGGAGAGAGGAGGAGAGAAGAGGUGAGAGGAAGUGAGAGGAGGUGAGAGGAGGAGAGAGGAGGUGAGAGGAGGAGAGAGGAGGUGAGAGGAGGAGAGAGGAGGAGAGAGGAAGUGAGAGGAGGUGAGAGGAGGAGAGAGGAGGUGAGAGGAGGAGAGAGGAAGUGAGAGGAGGAGAGAGGAGGAGAGAGGAGGUGAGAGGAGGUGAGAGGAGGAGAGAGGAAGUGAGAGGAGGAGAGAGGAGGAGAGAGGAGGAAAGAGGAAGUGAGAGGAGGUGAGAGGAGGUGAGAGGAAGUGAGAGGAGGUGAGAGGAGGAGAGAGGAAGUGAGAGGAGGAGAGAGGAGGAGAGAGGAAGUGAGAGGAGGAGAGAGGAGGAGAGAGGAAGUGAGAGGAGGAGAGAGGAGGUGAGAGGAGGUGAGAGGAGGAGAGAGGAAGUGAGAGGAGGAGAGAGGAGGAGAGAGGAGGAAAGAGGAAGUGAGAGGAGGAGAGAGGAGGAGAGAGGAGGUGAGAGGAGGAGAGAGGAAGUGAGAGGAGGAGAGAGGAGGAGAGAGGAGGUGAGAGGAGGUGAGAGGAGGAGAGAGGAAGUGAGAGGAGGAGAGAGGAGGAGAGAGGAGGAAAGAGGAAGUGAGAGGAGGUGAGAGGAGGUGAGAGGAAGUGAGAGGAGGUGAGAGGAGGAGAGAGGAAGUGAGAGGAAGUGAGAGGAGGAGAGAGGAGGAGAGAGGAGGAGAGAGGAAGUGAGAGGAGGAGAGAGGAAGUGAGAGGAGGAGAGAGGAGGUGAGAGGAGGAGAGAGGAAGUGAGAGGAGGUGAGAGGAGGAGAGAGGAAGUGAGAGGAGGAGAGAGGAGGAGAGAGGAGGAAAGAGGAAGUGAGAGGAGGUGAGAGGAGGUGAGAGGAAGUGAGAGGAGGUGAGAGGAGGAGAGAGGAAGUGAGAGGAAGUGAGAGGAGGAGAGAGGAGGAGAGAGGAGGAGAGAGGAAGUGAGAGGAGGAGAGAGGAAGUGAGAGGAGGAGAGAGGAGGAGAGAGGAGGAGAGAGGAGGAGAGAGGAGUCCACUGGGAGCUGCUCAGUUCUGAGGAGGUGCAGAGGAGAAUCAGUUCAUCAUAGAAACUGAACUCCCCCCCCCCCCCUGUUAUAAAUCAGAGCCACAUUGUGUGGGCGUCGGCCUCUGUUGCCCUGGAAACCGUUUAUUGCUCUGGAAAUUGCUCCAGUCUUUUGGAGCGUUGGAGGUCAGAGGUUCAACCGGGACACGACGGGCUGAACCCUCAGACCCCCUCCUCAGUGGGGGGGUCCCAGUCGGAGCCCCUCGCCCUCUGGAUGACUCUGCAGAGAUGUGUGGACAUUCAGGAUUUCAUGCUAAUAAUGGAAGACAAGGGGGGGGUGACCUCCUUAGUCCUGAUUAAGACUCAGAACUGCUGACCCCCCCCCCCAAACAAGGGUCUGUGUUUUUACAGGCUGUAAAGAAGAAGAGGGUUCAGAGAGUCACAGACCAACAGAGAAGAUGGACACCCCCCCCAGAGUCCUGCUGAGGACAGACCCCACCAGGCUGGACUCUGGACUCUGGACUCUGGACUCUGGACUCUGGCUGUGCACCAAUUCCUACCGUAUCCGUUUGUGAGGCGAAUGUCAUGGCGAGAACUCACAAGAACCCGCAGAUUCACGAUCAAUCACUCGAUAACGAGUUGUCUCUCUAAAGACAGACACAUAGACAUAUAAGCAGUAGAUUGUGUCCUUCCAGAGGAGGAAAUCUACUUCUAGACUUCUAGAAUCAGGAUAACGAGUCGUCUCUGUAACGACAGUCUGAAUGAUCUUGACUCUGUUUUUAAAUCCAUUCUCAAAGUACAACUGCAGGAACGGUACGGCCGGAAACCAACACUGAACGCCCGUGACCUUCGACCCCUCAGGCGGCGCUGUAUCAAAAACCGACAUCAGUGUGUAAAGGAUAUCAGCACAUGGACUCAGGAACACUUCAGAAAACCACUGUCAGUAAAUUCAGUUCGUCUCUACAUCUGUAAGUUAAAACUCUAAAGACAUUUAUCAACAACAUCCAGAAACGCCGCCGGCUUCUCUGGACCCGAGCUCAUCUGAGAUGGACUGAUGCAAAGUGGAAAAGUGUUCUGUGGUCUGACGAGUCAAAGAACCAUCCGGACUGUUGGGGGUGCAUUAGUGCCCGAGGCAUGGGUAACUUACACAUCUGUGAAGGCAACAUUCAUGCUGAAGGUACAAACAGGUUUUAGAGCAACAUCUGCUGCCAUCCAAGACACGUCUUUGUCAUGGACGCCCUUCCUGCUUAUUUCAGCGAGACAACGCCACGCCACAUUCUGCACGUGUUACAACAGCGUGGCUUCGUAGUCAAAGAGUGCAGGUACUCGACUGACCUGCCUGCAGUCCAGACCUGUCUCCCACUGAAAAUGUGUGGAGGAUUAUGAAGAGUAAAACACGACAACGGAGACCCCGGACUGUUGAAGAACUGAAGCUGAACAUGAAGAACGGGAAAGAAUUCCACCUUCAGCUCCAACAGUUCGUCUCCUCAGUUCACAAACGUUUACUGAGUUUGUUAAAAGGUGAUGGAACACAGAGGUAAACAUGAACCUGUCCAACUACUGUGGAGCGUGUUGAAAUUCUGAGUUCAUUAAUAUUUACAAAGACAAAUAAAGUUUAUGAGUUUGAACAUUAAAGAUCUUUGUGGUGAAUUUAAUUAAAUUUAGAUUUAAAAGGAUUUACAAAUCAUUGUAUUCUGUUUUUAUUUACGUUUAUCACCAACUUCAUUAAAAUUGGGUUUUAAAGUUCAGCAGGUAAAAUAACCUGAAAUUUAAAAAUCUGUCUCUUCUUGAUUUCUGUGAAAAUUUCAGGACCCCCCCCCCUCUGUUUCUGACAUGAAUAAACCAAUUAGUGUGUACCAAAGGUCUGCUCAGGGUGAACAGGAUGGAACUCUACUCUGCCCUCAGGGUGAGGACGGGGUGAGUGGAGGGGAGGGGUGGGAGGUGGGGGGGGGUUACAGGUGCAGUCAGGGAGGUGGAGGUGGAGGUGGGGGGGUCAGAGGUUAUCUUGUAGAGCAGAGAGAGCAGAGGGCAGAGACUCCAUCUGUUUACCUGAGGAACAGCAGCUCACAGGCUCAGUUUCCUGAU